rnacentral:rRNA from 1 species
UAAGGUUAUGGUGAAAAUGAGGGGCUCAACUCCGUAUUGCGUUGGAAACUGUCAAACUAGAGUACUGGAGAGGUAGGCGGAACUACAAGUGUAGAGGUGAAAUUCGUAGAUAUUUGUAGGAAUGCCGAUGGGGAAGCCAGCCUACUGGACAGAUACUGACGCUAAAGCGCGAAAGCGUGGGUAGCAA